UUGAAUUAAAGUGAAUACCGGUUGUUUUGGUUUGGUUGCUGGCUGCUUGCUUUUGAGUCUUUAAAACACCUAUCAACUAGCACGUCUUUAACGGUAACUUAGAUCAUCAGCCAAGAAUACAAAGUUUGGUCACAUCAAAUACGAAACAGCAAAUCAAUGCGCAUCGAUGUGUCCGUGUGCGUGUUUGUAAACAACAAACAAAUCAAACUCAAUCAAUUGACAUCUUCGCAUUGAACUUCUGACUGUCUGUAUGUGUGUAUGCGUUUGGGUAAACUAUUUCAGAAAGCUUUAGCAGUAAACACAAAAAAAUAGAAACAAAACAUGAAUGACCAUAAUAUUUAUUGCUAGCAUUUACCGUAUAAGUAGCUAACUGCUCGCGUUUCUAAAAAUCAAAUAAGAUUUGCGAGCAACGGAAAAAUUUACUAUAGUCUGUUGAAGAAUACUGUUAAAUACAUUACAAUGAUGAUUAAUUGAGUGUGUAGAUAGUUAAAUACUUAUUUUUUAAUCUUAUCUACUAUUGUUGGGGAAAAUAGUUUCAAUUGUGCAGAGAAGUAGUAAAUUUUAUUUACGCAUCUAGGCCUUGGCAAUUAGUGUAAGUAUGUAUAAGAUAUAUAGAUUAGAAUGUGGAGAAGGUCUAAAGGGUGUCUUUUUGAGAGUUAGAUGAGAUUAUUACAAAUCAAACACAGAAAAUUUACUGAAAUAGCCAAUAAUUGGAAUGUGAGGAGGGUCUAAAAUGUGUCUUUUUAAGAGGUCUUGAACUUUUUAUAACAAAAAACAGGAAAAUUACUAAAAUAGCGAAUAUUUUUGCUUUAUGAGUUCAUAAUUUUCUGAAAUUGUAUGUUUUAAUAGAAUUUUUGAACUUAAAUGUCAAUCACAUAUGUUUAGUUUGACAUUUGUUUGACAGCUGUCAUUCUAGGAAAUUGUUGACCCUUAAAAACCACCUAUAUUUGAAAAAAAACCACUGAGAUUAUUUUUGUUUUUCUAAAUAAAAUAAGUUUUUUUAAAUAAAAUAAUCAGAUAUUAGGUUGUCAAAUAUCCUUCCUUCCGCUUUUUUGCUCUCUUUAUUCAAUGCUUUAUAAAAAGUGUUUCAGUGAUCGGAUUUAGUUCAGAUAUGCGCCGUUUCGUUCGAUAAUCUGUUUCCAUCUAGACGGCAACUUCAUAAUACCCCUCGGAGAAGCCCCCUCCUUAUUUGCGAAGAACUCGGACAACCACUUUUCACAAGCCUCUUUUGAGUACAAUUUUACACCACCAAGGGCUUUCGCCAUGGACAGGAACAGGUGGUAAUCACUUGGCGCUAUGUCCGGGCGAUAUGGUGGAUGCGAUAAAACCUCCCUUCUGAGCUCUCGUAACUUCUGACGAGUCAGAACACACACGAAGUGUAUCCAUGGUGUCGUUUUCACCCGCUCUGAAUUGUCGAAACCAUUUCUCCGCAGUUCGAAGUGAUAGAGUACCAUCCCCCAAACUCUCCGUUAAUCUCACGGUACGUUUCUCUAGAGGAUUUGCCUUUAACAAAGGAAAGCUUUAAAAUAGCGCGAAUUUCGGCGUUAGUGAACUCCAUAUUUACACGUCUAUAACUGCAAUAUCCAAACUCACAAGACCUUUCAAAGAUGUAUAGUAUUGCUAGAAACGAGCUCUGUAGCGCUGUAUACAUAGUCGCGAAAUUCAAAAGACAAAUAGGCGGAAGGGAGAUAUUUUAUAUUCAAAAAAUUUUUUAUUGUAUUUGGAGUUACUUCUUUAGUGACUUUAGUAAUGUUUAUGGCACUUAAUUAAAAAUAUUAUGAUUAAAGUAAUGACUGUAAUAAUACUAAUAAGAUUUGCUAGACUCUAUUUACUUGUAGUUCUAAAUGUGGGAACCAUUUAGGUAAUUAUAAUAAUAGUUUUUAAUGUGCCCUAUAUUUUUUUAACUUCUUUCGAACAGCGAAUAUAGGUUUUUGAGCAGAUCUGAACAUCUGCAGAAUGCAAGCGAAGUAGUUUGAAAAUGAUAGUCAUGUAAAAAGAAAGUUAUAAACAAUAUAAUUAAUUUUCCAUUAAGGCAGUAGUCAGCUUUAGAAGCCGAAAAAAGGCGUUUUUUUAGCAUUUUUUUUUUUUUUGAAAGGGAAUCAAAUGAUUGCGGUAAACGGAAUUUUAAGAUGAUAGUGCACUAUAUUCAAGGUUUAAAAAACAAUAUUUAUUAUUAAAAAAUAUUGAAAUUUUUUCAAAGUUGUAAGUAUUUUUCUGGAGCGCCUGGAGUCUGCACUUGUAAAUCGGUGCCGGUGAUGGAGGUCGUGCGAUGCAUCUGAAACAGUCGAACCAAUUUUUUUUUAUAAGUUUCUCUUCUUUAUGAACUAAAAAAAUACCGAAGAAGUUAUAAAAUUCCAAAUUUUUUCGAAGUUUGAAAAAAAAAACAACUUUUUUCAGAAAAAAAUGCCUAAGUUGGAAAACAAGUAGUUUAAAUAAUACUUUUGUCCAACUUCAACUACUUUUGUCUAGUUCAAAUUGAAAAUAAUUUAAUACUGAAGCUAGAUCAUUUUGGUUUUUUUUCGAUCGAACAUAUAUUCUUUUUGCUAUCGCCGGCACCGUUUUCUAACACUUGUGAAAAUGAAAACUCGAGAAAACGCACUUUAAAGCCUGCCUGAGCAUUCGCACCUGCUCGACGCUCGGCCACUAAAACUGCUCUAGCUUCGAAAAUAUGUCGAAUCGGCCUCUGGAAUUUUAAAGACAUAUUCUUGGAUAGUUUUGGAAGAGAUUUAAAACAAAACAAAAAAAUCGAUUUUUUGAAACCUGUAAAGCAGAAUUAUAUCAAAAAUAACAUCUUUUAAUUUAGUUUGAAACUCUUUUUUAACAUAACAAAAUAUAAAAUACUCUAAAUUUUAUUAUUGGCAACACCAAAAAGACAAAUAAUUUAAUGUUGCCUACAUUGCGGCGCUGAGAAAAAACGUCGAGCCCGUUAAAAGCAAUCGAAUGGUCCAAACAAAAGACUUAAGCGACGAACUAGAUCCUUUUACUUUUAUUUCUGGCAAUUAAAUACUGUAUAGUAUAUAAAAUAAAUAUAUUUUUUUAUUUCUAAAGCAAAGUCUAAUUUUAGAAGUACUAAAAAUAUUGACUUUAGCAUUAGUAUUCGGUGGAAAAUGCAUAAUAAAUACAUACUCUACGAAGUCUAAAGAACCUUUCGAAAAAAAUUUAAGCCUUUCGAAAACGGCUAAUAACAUUCAGAAUUCUCGAAAUACUUAAAAAAGUGUCUGUUAAAUAUUUAUAUAUAAACAUACUACAUAACUAUACAGACCUAAAAAUAUAAUUUAAAGCAAUUUUUUCCAUCCAUCUAUCUAUUCCUUAAUAUUUAUUUUUAACUGUAGUUGAAAAAUCACUUAACAAAAAUGAAUAUUUGCUAUUAAUUACCUUUCACACCACAUGAUAACUCACUAGGAUAGCAUUGCAACGCACAAAAAUGUAGGUUUACAUAAUCAAUUAACUCUUAGAACGCAUACAGACAAGAGACACACACACAUUUAUGCAGCACAAAUCAAUACAACCGUUAAAUACUCAACGAAUAUACAAUUUAAAGUGAUUAAUAUGCUCGAAAAGUAAUUAUCGCCAUUCACAAAAGUUGUUUUGUACAUAUACAUAUAUCUAUAUCUAUGUGUGCUUGUGUAUUCUUUCGCUCCAAUGUUUUUCUUUCCCGACAUUGACUGCAUAUUUUCUCAAGCAUUUUCAAGCAAAAUAAGAAGAUCAACAACACAAAUGGAAAGCUUCAAGCGCAAUUAUAGAGAUUGUAGAAUUGAAGAGGCCUCCAAAAAAACACAAAAAAAAAUAAAAAAAAAAACAAAAUAACAAAAGAAGGGCGCACUCGCAACCAGCUGUAAAUAUAUGUAUGUAUGCUACUUCCUCUCACUUCCGCACCGCCAUUGGCAACGAUGAUGGUGGCGCCCAAGUUGGACGACCAGCCGGCCGGCUUCGUCAUCCAACGCAAUGAGCCAAUGAUUGUAUAUACAAACACACACACAUAUAUUUUUGCGCUGAUGAGUGUCUCGAGUGUGUAUUCUAGUCAUGCAUACGGUGCGAUGGUGCGAUUUCCCGUUGGUAAAAGUAUAUUUUGUAUAUAUUACUAAAUCAACUAGCACGGUAGUAGCAACAGCACCGAAAAUAACAGAUAACGCAAGCGUAGCAGCCGGAAAGGCACCAAUUAACCAACCAAACCAAAUAAUAAUCAACUGUUCAACCAACCAAAUAUUUGAAAAUAAUAACAAUAAAACAAUUAAAGUGUCACUGUGUUGUUGUUUUAAUGAAAAAAAAAAAUUGCUACAACAUUUUCAGUGUGUGAGAGCGAAGCGUUUGCAAAACUACAAAUAAUUAAAUUUGAAAAAAAAAAAUAA